rnacentral:misc_RNA from 1 species
GGAUGAAGAACGUAGCGAAAUGCGAUACGUAAUGUGAAUUGCAGAAUUCAGUGAAUCAUCGAAUCUUUGAACGCAUAUUGCGCUCUCUGGUAUUCCGGAGAGCAUGCUUGUUUGAGUAUCAGUAAACACCUCAACUCCCUUUUCUUUUUUGAAAUUGGAGCUGGACUUGAGUGAUCCCAACGCUUUCUUCCAAGAAAGUGGCGGGUUGCUUGAAAUGCAGGUGCAGCUGAACUUUUCUCUGAGCUAUAAGCAUAUCUAUUUAGUCUGCCUAAAAAACAGAUUAUUACCUUUGCUGCAGCUAACAUAAAGGAGACUAGUUCUUGUGCUGACUGAUGCAGGAUUCACAGAGACAGCUUCGGCUGACUUUGUAAACUCGAUCUCAAAUCAAGUAAGACUACCCGCUGAACUUAAGCAUAUCAAUAAGCGGAGGA